CCUGCAACCCGGCUCCGUGAAGCUGGAUUCGCUAGUAAUCGCGCAUCAGCCAUGGCGCGGUGAAUACGUUCCCGGGCCUUGUACACACCGCCCGUCAAGCCAUGGGAGCCGGGGGCGCCUGAAGUGCGGUACCGCGAGGGCCGCCCAAGGGCGAGACCGGUGACUGGGGCUAAGUCGUAACAAGGUAAC
rnacentral:rRNA from 1 species